CCACACAGUUAAUUAUUGGUGAAAGCUGC
rnacentral:piRNA from 1 species